GGAGGGUUGGCCGAGUGGUCUAAGGCGGAAGACUUAAGAUCUUUUGGACGUUUGUCCGCGCGAGUUCGAACCUCGCACCCUUCACUA
rnacentral:tRNA from 4 species